rnacentral:rRNA from 1 species
GCAAGUCGAGGGGCAGCGGGGAUAAGCUUGCUUAUCCGCCGGCGACCGGCGCACGGGUGCGCAACGCGUAUAGAAUCUGCCUUGUACUGGGGAAUAGCCCAGAGAAAUUUGGAUUAAUGCCCCAUGGUAUGUAAUUGUGGCAUCACAUUUACAUUAAAGGUCACGGUACAAGAUGACUAUGCGUCCCAUUAGUUAGUUGGUAAGGUAACGGCUUACCAAGGCAGCGAUGGGUAGGGGCCCUGAGAGGGGGAUCCCCCACACUGGUACUGAGACACGGACCAGACUCCUACGGGAGGCAGCAGUGAGGAAUAUUGGACAAUGGGCGGGAGCCUGAUCCACCCAUGCCGCGUGCACGAAGACGGUCCUAUGGAUUGUAAACUGCUUUUGUACUGGAAGAAUAAGGACUACGUGUAGUCUGUUGACGGUACCGUAAGAAUAAGGAUCGGCUAACUCCGUGCCAGCAGCCGCGGUAAUACGGAGGAUCCGAGCGUUAUCCGGAAUCAUUGGGUUUAAAGGGUCCGUAGGCGGGCCAUUAAGUCAGGUGUGAAAGUCUGCGUCUCAACCCUAGAAUUGCCCUUGAUACUGGUGGUCUUGAGUUAUGGUGAAGUGGCCGGAAUAUGUAGUGUAGCG